GAUGAACGCUGGCGGCGUGCCUAAUACAUGCAAGUCGAGCGAACAGAUGAGGAGCUUGCUCCUCUGACGUUAGCGGCUGACGGGUGAGUAACACGUGGAUAACCUACCUAUAAGACUGGGAUAACUUCGGGAAACCGGAGCUAAUACCGGAUAAUAUAUUGAACCGCAUGGUUCAAUAGUGAAAGACGGUUUUGCUGUCACUUAUAGAUGGAUCCGCGCCGCAUUAGCUAGUUGGUAAGGUAACGGCUUACCAAGGCGACGAUGCGUAGCCGACCUGAGAGGGUGAUCGGCCACACUGGAACUGAGACACGGUCCAGACUCCUACGGGAGGCAGCAGUAGGGAAUCUUCCGCAAUGGGCGAAAGCCUGACGGAGCAACGCCGCGUGAGUGAUGAAGGUCUUCGGAUCGUAAAACUCUGUUAUUAGGGAAGAAAAAAUGUGGAAGUAACUAUGCACGUCUUGACGGUACCUAAUCAGAAAGCCACGGCUAACUACGUG
rnacentral:rRNA from 1 species